CAAAAGGUACAAACUUCCAGGCCUGAUGUAAGUAAGUCCCGGGACUGUCAUGCACAGCAUGGUGACUAAAGUUGAGGACACUGUGUUGUGUACUCGAAUGUUGCUGAGAUCGUGAAAGUUCUCAUCACAAGGGGAAAAUACGGUAACUGUGGGCGGUAAUGGAUGUGAACUAGAACUUGUGGUGAUCAUUUUGCAAUAUACACAAAUAUCAGAUCAUUAUGUCAUAGGAAACAAAUAUAAUGAAAAACAAGUAAGGACUGUAAAUAUCCACUGAAACCAGCAAUGUGGAGCUCCCCGAUGACGUCAGGGAAAGCUGUUUCCUGCAGGAAUGAGGUAGAAGGUGAAUUGGAGUGGGUUGAUUGGAAGUGGGAGAUAAGGAGAUGCAGGCUCUGCAAAUCCUUUCUAGGAGGGAAAUAGAGAGAGAGGUAUACAAAUAUACAUGGAGAUCCUUACGGAAAGUCAUCUCUCUCUCUCUCUAUUUAUAUACGUACAAACACAUGUCUCUUUUGUUGUUGAGAAAGCCAGUUCAGAGAAAUGACACGAUUUCCUGAAAGUUGUACAGAAAACCCACAGCUAAGCUAUGACCAUAAACCCCUCCUCUGACUCCUCAGACAGAGCGCAGAGCGCAGAGGGAGGGCUGGAUCUCAGAGCUCUAGCAAAUCACUUAUUUUCCACAAGUCUCAGUUGCCUUGGCUUUCCCUCGCUUGUUGGGAGGAUUAAAGGCAAGAAUUGCUCACCCGUGGGCCCUGGCAGCACCCUGCCAGCUUCCACAUCCCACUAAUUCCUCUGUUUCCUUCUCUCGUUUUCUCCCUAAUCCCAGAGGAGAGGGAUAGCAUGAAAGGAGAGAGAGCAUUCGGAUAUUUCUUUUGAGAAGGGUGAUGAGCUGGGAAUUAGGUUAAGAUCAGCUGGAGAGAUGGAGGGUGGGGGAAGGGGCAGGGCUGCCAACAUACUGGAUACUAGUUCGGUUGUUAACCUGCUGAGCCACAACGGGAACGCCGAUGUUAAACCAAUUUAGAUGACUGGGUUUGGGCUGAGAUGUUCCUUUUUUCCAAGUGUUUUUCAGGUGUGCUGUUGUUUCUCCAGUGGAGCCUGACAUAAGAAAAGAGGUCCCUGCCAGCCUGAAGCAAUAUCUAUGUAGAUUUGCCUAAAGUUGGAGUGGCAAAUGUGGACUGUGAAUGACCCCCUCACGGUCUGCCCCACACAAGGGGCACGGCCUCUGCAACCCCAUCGACUACAUUCGGGUUCUCCUUCCCACGUCUACCCAUAAGACACUCACUAAUUACACGGGGAGAAAUGGUCAUUCCACAGUGGAGCAACCUGACAGACACCAUCUUCAACAGGUGAUCAAAUUUAACAACAGCCGGUAAUGGGACAGACCGACUUUAUGUGCCUCAUGCUACAACGUACAAAGAAGAAACAUCACUUCUGUGGGGUUCCUGCCAAAUGUGUAUAAUCGAAACACCAGGAAACAUUCAACAAACCAAACUCAAAAGCUAUUCUACAGGCACAGGGAGCUCUGCUCUUCAAAAAUGUCUAUGGCAUGAAAAAACAAAGUGGACUGAGGAACUGUGCCACAUAAGGGAGACUGAAUUGGGACACGCAAUAAAUGAAUGCAAUACGAGAAUGGAUUUUCUUUUGCAAUUAAAUGACAGUAUGGGA